rnacentral:tRNA from 1 species
GGAGCGGUAGUCCAGUCGACGAGUCGUCGAUCCGAGACGCCGAGGCUCGCACGUUCGAGUCAUCGGUCCGCUCCGCCA